GACGAACGCUGGCGGCGUGCUUAACACAUGCAAGUCGAACGGAAAGGCCCUGCUUUUGUGGGGUGCUCGAGUGGCGAACGGGUGAGUAACACGUGAGUAACCUGCCCUUGACUUUGGGAUAACUUCAGGAAACUGGGGCUAAUACCGGAUAGGAGCUCCUGCUGCAUGGUGGGGGUUGGAAAGUUUCGGCGGUUGGGGAUGGACUCGCGGCUUAUCAGCUUGUUGGUGGGGUAGUGGCUUACCAAGGCUUUGACGGGUAGCCGGCCUGAGAGGGUGACCGGCCACAUUGGGCCUGAGAUACGGCCCAGACUCCUUCGGGAGGCAGCAGUGGGGAAUAUUGCACAAUGGGCGGAAGCCUGAUGCAGCAACGCCGCGUGCGGGAUGACGGCCUUCGGGUUGUAAACCGCUUUCGCCUGUGACGAAGCGUGAGUGACGGUAAUGGGUAAAGAAGCACCGGCUACCUACGUG
rnacentral:rRNA from 1 species